rnacentral:lncRNA from 1 species
UUUUUGACUAGGGAAGAUGAAUGUGAACAAAGUCGCAUAGAAGAAGCCAAGAGAGUCCUCCGAUUGUUCCCGAUAUGGGCGACAAGCUUAGUAUAUGCCGUCGCCUUCGCUCAAUUGGCCACCUUCUUCACUAAGCAAGGAAGGACUUUAGAUAGAAGCAUCACUUCAAGCAUACAAGUUCCACCCGCGGCUCUACAAAGCUUCGGAAGUCUAACUAUCAUGGCCUUCGUCCCCAUAUACGAUCGAAUCCUCGUGCCCUUAGCUCAGAAGUUUUCGAAGCUACAUUCGGGCAUCACCAUGCUUCAAAGAGUCGGCAUUGGAAUGACCAUAUCCUUUAUCUCAAUGAUAGUAGCAGCUCUAGUGGAAAUGAAGAGGCUUAAGACGGCUCAAGAUUUCGGCUUGAUCGACGAGCCAAAAGCCACUAUUCCAAUGAGCUUUUGGUGGUUGGUUCCUCAAUACAUGCUCAUUGGGCUCGCCGAUGUGUUUAUUGUUGUAGGAUUGCAGGAGUUCUUCUACGAUCAGGUCCCCGACGGUUUAAGAAGCCUCGGGCUCGCUCUCUACACGAGUAUAAUGGGGAUCGGUAGUUUUAUUAGUAGUGCUCUCAUUUCCAUGAUCGAUGAAAUGACAAGCAAGAACGGUGAUAGUUGGUUCUCGAAUAACUUAAACCGAGCGCAUCUCGAUUACUUCUAUUUGCUUCUCGCAGGUCUCGGUGUUUUAGAAUUAUGCUUAUUCUUGUACUUUACGCGCAAUUAUAACUAUAAGAAGAAGAUUGAUUUCUGAUAGCAUGAGUACUAAGGAGAAAUAUAAUCUUAAGUACAUAUUUCCACAACAUUGUAAAAGUUCUUUGAUGAUUGUAGGAUGCUUUAAAUUCUUGUAUAAUUUCAAAUUCAAAGUAAGAUAUUCAAUUUAUUUUAUCUCCUCUUCUUUAUAUUUUUAUUUUUAUGUUUAAAUCCUUGAUGCAUGUAUCAUAAGUAGUCUUUUUUUGUAAUAAAUUCACAAAUAGUGCUAGGAAAGAGAAAAUUAAUUAUGCUAGAAGCUUAGUGAGACUAGAACUCAGGACCUCUUACUCUAUAUCAUGUUAAAAUUAUAUAAACUAAUUGUUGCUCACAAAAAAACUUAAACCGUUAGAAAAUAAUGUUUUUUAUAUUUUAUAUUCAACACAAAUGGAUUAUACUAGAGGAAACAUGUGAAGAGACCAAAAGAGAGAGUCUCUGUUUUUCUUUUUUUUUUUCUUUUUGGGUAAACUUCAAAUAUCACCCUUGUGGUUUCACACUUUCUCAUUUUAGUACCCUAUGGUUUAAAGUGUAUCAAGUUAGUGUUCUAUGAUUUUAUUUUUAUCUUUUCGUCAGCUUCUCCGUUAAUAUUUCGUUAAAUUAUAUACAAAAAACUUCAGAUACCUCACCUAAGUUUAUCGAAUAUUUACUUUGGUACUUUUUACUUUUAACUUUGUCACUGAUUUAACGAAAAAAAUUAAUAGAAUCGAUAAUAAAAAAAUAAAAAUGAAAACACAGAUACUAAAUUGAUACACUUUAAAUCAAAAGAUAUUAAAGUGAAAAAGUGUUAAACUACUAGGGUGGUAUUUGAAGUUUUUCCUUUUUUUUUUUGUUGUCUCUAUUAAAGUAGCAUGGCGCUUCAAAAGGCAUAACAACAGGUUCCUUAUUUGCUCUGCCUGCUUUUAGCUACACUUAUCAGUAAUAGAGUGUUUGACAUUAGAAGAUUCGAAUCUUCUGCUGUAAUGGGUGAAGUCCGAAAACGAAAACAAUAAUUUGGAGCAUUUGAUUCUACAGCAAAUAAAGACUAUCGAAGCAAUCGAGGGAUUUUGAUCCUGCAGGCUCGAAUUGCAUUAAGGUCCUAUUUGGAUACCUUUAAAAAUAUAGUAUAGUUAAACUACGCUACAUCAGUAGAAAAUUUAUCCUAUAAAAAGUUUGAGAGAGAAAAAAAAUAAUAACGUAAUUUUUAAAGCAUAAUUAUACUACUUUAGAAAAUAGGGUAAAACUAUAAUCCACUAUGCUCCAAUGCGUUUCGUCGAACAGCUUUUUUCACACUAUAGGACACUUUCGGGCAAGUGAAAAAAGGAGAGCAAAAAAAAGGAAUAAAUGGAUGGUAAUUAAGUGAAACAGCUGCAAAUUGUUUAAAUAAGUAUAUUUUCACCUACAUUGGUUAUAUAUAUAUAUAUAGUAAUUAAAAGGCCAAUUUGCAUAAAAAAUUCACUUAUUUUGGGCGUUUGCAAAAUCGGGCCACCUUUUUCGUUUUUGCAAAUUCGGUCCGCUUUCUCUUUCCUCUUUCUCUCUUCUUUUCGUUCUCUCGUUNCAUAACUUCAAUUUUUUUAAAAAAAUAUAUUUCCGAGAAAAAUCCAUUUAACAACAUAGUUCUAAUGCCCUAUUAUUGCUUUAACUAGGGAUAUUAGCACAAAUAUUUAUUACUUAACAGAUAAUUUUUCUUUAUACAUCAACUAGUCCACAAGCAAAGAGAAGAGCUGGGAAUUUAAAGACAUUUUUUAUCAACAUUUCAACAAGCCAUUAAGUUUCAAUUAACUUAGAAAUUACCUUUCAAAUGGCACAAUUAAUAUUUUCUUUUUUUUUCUUUUUUUUUUUGAGAGAGAUAGGUAGCACGCUACCCGCUUCGUUUAUUUUAUUUAUAAAUAAACUUAGCUGGAAAUGUGAAUCAACUAGGAUUCGAAAUUGGGUCUCGGGUACCAACCACCAAGUCCUUUAUCACUUGCCCUAGGGACGGUCGGUAAUAUUUUCUUUUUGUGCACUCAAAAUUUGAUCAUUUUUGCAGGGCUACGGCAUGUUAGCUAUCUCAUCCACACUCCCAUUUCUCCGCCCUCCGAAAUGCAUGGACUCCGCAAAUUCUUCGACAUGCCAACCUUCGCCUUUUCAAGUGGCCUUCUUCUACGUAUCUCUCUAUCUCGUAGCCUUUGCUCAAGGCGGCAACAAGUCUUGCGGACUAGCAUUCGGAGCCGACCAAUUCGACCAGAAUGAGCCAAAGGAGUGCGCCUCGCGAGGCUCCUUCUUUAACUGGUGGUACUUUGUCACGUCCACGGGCAUGACCUUUGCGUAUAUCAUACUAAGUUACGUUCAGGAUAACGUUGGUUGGGGCCUUGGCUUUGGAAUCCCCGCUAUUAUUAUGUCCUUCGCUCUUGUUGUCUUCUUGCUCGGGACGAAGACGUAUAGAAUUUAUGUAGUGGAACAAGAGAGCCCCUUUGCCCGAAUAGGCAAGGCGUUCGUGUCGUUGGCGAGGAGUUGGAAAGCAAGCCUUCUUCGACCGAGAGAAGACAAAGAAAGACAACAAGACGAGUAUGUUCAUUCUACACUUCUUACCUUGAGAUGACUUAAAAUGCACCAUUAGUUGCCAAACAUGUAGCAAAAUUUUACCUAGAUCAUCAAAUUUGGAGUUGAGCUCGAAUACUCCUAGAAGCAUAUGUGAUUCACUUGUUUCUAAUUUUUUGGCUCUUAGAUUCAUGCUACUAUGACAGCUAAUAGUAAACCCAAGACAUUCAAGGAAUAUAAAGUUUGUAAGCAAGUGAAUAGUAAAUAUUGCUUCUAAAAGCAUUCCAGCACAAUUCUCAAAUUUGAUUCCUCGUGAUCGCUGUGUGCCACAAUUAGGUCGAGCUAUCAAGUGACGGCGUUAAAUUUCCUUAUGAAGAGAUGAUGCAAAAGCUGAAUCACCUACAACAUUAUCUCUCUAUAAGAAAAAUCUGAUGGCACUUGACGACUCUGAGUGGACUGUAUAGCGACCUAUGAGAAAUUUUACGGUGAGUUUAAUAAGGAUUGUUGAAACUUACCAUUUAUUUUCAACAAACUUUGCUAACCGAUAUAAUUAUGAAGAUAUUCGACAACAGGAGAUGAAUGUGAACAAAGUCACAUGGAAGAAGCCAAGCGAGUGCUCCGAUUGUUCCCGAUAUGGGCGACAAGCUUAGUAUACGCCGUCACUUUUGCUCAAUUGGCCACCUUCUUCACUAAGCAAGGAAGGACUUUAGAUAGAAGCAUCACUUCAAGCAUACAAGUUCCACCCGCGGCUCUACAAAGCUUCAGAAGUCUCACUAUCAUGGCCUUCGUCCCCG